rnacentral:rRNA from 1 species
GUAGGUGGCAAGCGUUAUCCGGAAUUAUUGGGCGUAAAGCGCGCGUAGGCGGUUUUUAAGUCUGAUGUGAAAGCCCACGGCUCAACCGUGGAGGGUCAUUGGAAACUGGAAAACUUGAGCGCAGAAGAGGAAAGUGGAAUUCCAUGUGUAGCGGUGAAAUGCGCAGAGAUAUGGAGGAACACCAGUGGCGAAGGCGACUUUCUGGUCUGUAACUGACGCUGAUGUGCGAAAGCGUGGGGGAUCAAACAGGAUUAGAUACCCUGGUAGUCCACGCCGUAAACGAUGAGUGCUAAGUGUUAGGGGGUUUCCGCCCCUUAGUGCUGCAGCUAACGCAUUAAGCACUCCGCCUGGGAGUACGACCGCAAGGUUG